CUUUGGACUAAUUUGUAGAUCUUGCCUUGCAGGUAUUUAUUGCUAUUUAUAGAAUAUCCAUUGAUUAUAGUUUUCAGGACAAGCGAUAGCCUUUCAAAAAGUGCUAAAUUCGACUCUUAGCUGAUGAAAAUGGAAAGAGCUCUCGCUUUGUAGAUUAAUUCAUUUACUAGAAUAGCCACGUGCAUCAAUCAACAAAUUUUACCACACACGUGAGGUCACACGUUAUGAACUUGUAGUAUCGUUUAACGUUGUUGUUUACUCCAGAAGAUUCGUCUAUUUAUAGAUAAAAGUUACCUGUGUAAAAUCUUAUUGCUAAAAUAGAGACGAC
rnacentral:lncRNA from 1 species